AGCUACAUUUUUGCCUCUGAAUGAAUAACACACCCUUAUUGAAAUACAUAAAUCCUGUUCUCUAAUUCUCAGUGCUCCUUGCAGAAUUACAACCUGUAUACUUUAGAUUGAUUUCCCUUGUCAAUCCAUGUCAAACAGGGUUUAUGGAUAUGAGCCACAGGACCAGAGCCACAGGCCAAGAUAAAAAACAGGGAUAUAAAAAAUACUACUGCCACUAAUAUGCUUUUGUCCAAGAUUGACAGCACCAGAAGCAUCCCCACCCUAAUUUUUUUUGACAAGAGAAUGAAGAAUAAUGGAGACAAAUAAAAGAUAGGAGGAAAGCCUUGAUUACUACUUGUGCCCAAGUUGACUUCUGAAGAAUAAUGAUAUAUAUUGAGCAUCUAUGCUGAAAAUAGCCCUUUCCUAAAUGGAGAGAAGGAUGGCAGGAAACAGACAGUAAAAACCCUAUAUUCUUGGGAGCACUGAAACCCAGCCCCAACCAACAAAAAAGGUGCUGCCCUCUAAUCUGGAUAUCAUUACCUUCCUGGCAAAAGAUUCUCUCAGACUUUGAUUCCCCACAAAUGGUUCUCCUCCCAAAGGGCAGGUACUCUAGAC
rnacentral:lncRNA from 1 species